ACAUAAAAAACCAGAGAAAAUGGCGGACAUCGAAACAAUUGACACGCGAAACCACGAUGUGAAUUGCCUCUAUUGGCCAGCUGCUUCAUACAAGAGGGUACAAAGUGCGUCUUGCGUUGGAUAUCGCAUUUUCUGGCUUUCGAAGUCUAAAGCGGUUUACAGUUCCCUUUCGGCUGAUAUCAGGUGCGACUCAUGCGCUCCACCAAAAUGUGGUGUCCUAGAGGGCUGAUAUCGCCAAUCCAUUUUCUUCUUCUUCAUAAACUCGUUGAUUUUCUCGCUGGCAUGCAUUUUUUCAGUUUCUUUUCGCAGAUCAUGCUUGGCACCAAUGAAGUUUGCUCCGUAGUCGGAGUGCAUUACACGGAGUUUACCGUAGAGGCCAGUGAAACAACAACAAUUAAGGAAAAAAAAUCUGCAUAGAGUGAGUUCACAAGAUCCAAACAGAAAGCGCGGUUUACGAGGCAGGUAUAUAGAUAAAUCAAACCUUUAGCAGUUCAAACAAAUCAUGGGAUGUUCGGGGAAAGGAAGUGAGCCAGCUUCGGCCAUAAGUUGCUCGUCGGGUUUGGCCCGAUCUCGUUUGCACCUUUCACAUUAAUACCUAAUCUAUUUGACUUGUUCCCCAGACAGCACAAAAGUGCCGUCGUACAUCCAGUAUCCUUCCAGUCGGAGAAAGAGGUGGAAGAUAAUUGUAGUACCUCCAUGGGAAGGUAAAAUGGGAGCUUAAAAGGGAACGAUGCUUCCCUAUGUUCUCCAAAAAACUUCCUUUUUAAAAUGAAGACAUGGGAUGCUUUACGGAUCUUUUAGGAUCAUUACAGGGAAGCCACGCAAUGAUUCGUUAUUAUUUGUGGUUGUAGUAAUAAGUCUAUGCAGAGUUAAAUGAAAAAAAAAAUGGCAACGUUUUUUUUUUUUUUAAAUCAGGCAACGUUUUUUAAGCUUAGCGUCCCUUUUUACAGUGAAACGGUACUCUUUUCUAUGGCAUUUUCUGUUGUAUUCGCCAUUCCUGACUCAGUAAUAAAUCUGAAUUUUUUUCUGGAAAAUUAAUUUGCUCUGCUAGCUUCUAGCUUCUACGACCUACGAGGUGUUUUUUGCAAAUUGUAAAUUGCAGCUACCAGCAACCACUGACUGGACUUCUUCGAACAACUUUUGUACUGGGCUCAUCACCUAGCUCUUUGCAGUUGUGGCAGGUCAGGCGCAGGACUACGAACAACUUUUUGUACUGGGCUCAUCACCCCUUUGCAGUUGUGGAAGGUCAGGUGCAGGACUACUAAUAUCUCCAGCUACUUACGAAGAUCCAAUGGAUAAAUAAGGUCCUAAGUCAAUUUUCAAGUUUCCAAGUCAUUUUUCUCCUUGUGUAAAACAAAGAAAUGUUCAAAUACAGAAAUCUUUGCAAAUGUU